UCCGAGUUGUCCCCGGCAGUCUCUUAUGAGUCCCCGGCAUAACCCGCUGGUAACAUAAGACAAGGGUUGCGCUCGUUGCGGGACUUAACCCAACACCUCACGGCACGAGCUGACGACAGCCAUGCAGCACCUAGUUUCGCGCCCUUGCGGGAAGACACCUUUCGGCAUCCGUCGCUAACUUUCAAGCCCUGGUAAGGUUCCUCGCGUAUCAUCGAAUUAAACCACAUGCUCCUCCGCUUGUGCGGGCCCCCGUCAAUUCCUUUGAGUUUCAACCUUGCGGUCGUACUCCCCAGGUGGAUAACUUAACGCUUUCGCUUAGCCGCUGACAGUAUAUCGCCAACAGCGAGUUAUCAACGUUUACAGCGUGGACUAC
rnacentral:misc_RNA from 1 species